GAUGAACGCUGGCGGCGUGCCUAAUACAUGCAAGUCGAGCGAACAGACGAGGAGCUUGCUCCUCUGACGUUAGCGCCGGACGGGAGAGUCACACGUGGAUAACCUACCUAUAAGACUGGGAUAACUUCGGGAAACCGGAGCUACUACCGGAUAAUAUAUUGAACCGCAUUGUUCAAUAGUGAAAUACGGUUUUGCUGUGACUUAUAGAUUGAUACGCGCCGCAUUAGUUAGUUGGUAAGGUAACGGCUUACCAAGGCGACGAUGGGAACACGACCCGAGAGGGUGGUUGGCCACACUGGAACAGAGGAACGGUCCCGACUCCGACGGGAGGCCACAGUAGAGAAUCUUACGGGAUGGGCGAGUGCGUAACAUAGCAACACCGCGUAAAUGAUGAAGGUGCUCGGAUCGUAAAACUCUGUAGUUAGGGGGGUUCAAAAGUGUUUUUAACUGUGAACGUCUUGACGGUACCGAGACAGAAAGCCACGGCUAACUACGUG
rnacentral:rRNA from 1 species